UACAGAGGUCCCAAGCGUUGUUCGGAUUCACUGGGCGUAAAGGGUGCGUAGGCGGUCGGGUAAGUCUGAUGUGAAAUCUCACAGCUUAACUGUGAAACUGCACUGGAUACUAUCCGGCUAGAGGAAUGGAGGGGAGACUGGAAUACUUGGUGUAGCAGUGAAAUGCGUAGAUAUCAAGUGGAACACCAGCGGCGAAGGCGAGUCUCUGGACAUUUCCUGACGCUGAGGCACGAAAGCCAGGGGAGCAAACGGG
rnacentral:rRNA from 1 species